rnacentral:rRNA from 1 species
GCAUAUCAAUAAGCGGAGGAAAAGAAACCAACAGGGAUURCCUCAGUAACGGCGAGUGAAGCGGYAACAGCUCAAAUUUGAAAUCUGGCYYCWYGGUCCGAGUUGUAAUUUGUAGAGGAUGCUUCKRGCRUGGUCUGGCCYAAGUUCCUUGGAACRGGACGUCAUASAGGGWGAGARUCCCGUAUGCGGKSAGGUGCCUACKCUCAUGUGAAGCUCCYUCGACGAGUCGAGUUGKUUGGGAAUGCWGCUCAWAAUGGGUGGUWAAUUUCAUCUAAAGMUAAAUAUUGGCCAGAGACCGAUAGCGCACAAGUAGAGUGAUCGAAAGAUGAAAAGYACUUUGGAAAGAGAGUUAAACAGUACGUGAAAUUGUUGAAAGGGAAGCGCUUGCAACCAGACUUGCGCGCGGCCGAUCAUCCGGUGUUCUCACCGGUGCACUCSGCCGUGCUCAGGCCAGCAUCKKUUUCGGCGGUUGGAUAAAGGCCUCAGGAAUGUGGCUCCUCUCGGGGAGUGUUAUAGCCUGGGGUGCAAUGCAGCCUGCUGGGACCGAGGACCGCGCUUCGGCUAGGAUGCUGGCGUAAUGGUUGUAAGCGGCCCGUCUUGAAACACGGACCAAGGAGUCUAACAUCUAUGCGAGUGUUUGGGUGUCAAACCCAUACGCGUAAUGAAAGUGAACGGAGGUGAGAACCCUUAAGGGUGCAUCAUCGACCGAUCCUGAUGUCUUCGGAAGGAUUUGAGUAAGAGCAUAGCUGUUGGGACCCGAAAGAUGGUGAACUAUGCCUGAAUAGGGUGAAGCCAGAGGAAACUCUGGUGGAGGCUCGCAGCGGUUCUGACGUGCAAAUCGAUCGUCAAAUUUGGGUAUAGGGGCGAAAGACUAAUCKAACC